UACGGAGGGGGCUAGCGUUGUUCGGAAUUACUGGGCGUAAAGCGCACGUAGGCGGCGAUUUAAGUCAGAGGUGAAAGCCCGGGGCUCAACCCCGGAACUGCCUUUGAUACUGGGUAUCUCGAGUCCGAGAGAGGUGAGUGGAAUUCCGAGUGUAGAGGUGAAAUUCGUAGAUAUUCGGAGGAACACCAGUGGCGAAGGCGGCUCACUGGCUCGGUACUGACGCUGAGGUGCGAAAGCGUGGGGAGCAAACAGG
rnacentral:rRNA from 1 species